rnacentral:rRNA from 1 species
UACGAAGGGGGCUAGCGUUGCUCGGAAUCACUGGGCGUAAAGCGCACGUAGGCGGAUCGUUAAGUCAGGGGUGAAAUCCUGGAGCUCAACUCCAGAACUGCCUUUGAUACUGGCGAUCUUGAGUCCGGAAGAGGUGAGUGGAACUCCUAGUGUAGAGGUGGAAUUCGUAGAUAUUAGGAAGAACACCAGUGGCGAAGGCGGCUCACUGGUCCGGUACUGACGCUGAGGUGCGAAAGCGUGGGGAGCAAAGCAG